UCCUCCGACCUGAGAUUACUACGGUGACUUGCAAGCAACUCACUAUGCUUUGGUGCCGGACUGUCUGUAUUUUUAAUAUAGGUUCGAAAGGUUUCUGGGUACAGUAAGUAUUUAUGAAGUCGGUGUGUGAGUCAACAUGAAAUUGACCACUCCUGAUUAACUUCAGAAAGAGAAUAUCUCACUAUAUUUCAAUUUAGCAAAACCUAGGCCUGGGUAAUCUUCGUGGCGAGUCACAAGAUUUGCAAAAUUUUGAGACACAAUAGAGAUGACUUAUAUGAGUGUUGACAGCAUACUCGAAGUUGUCUUGAACAUUAUUGAUCAAAAUGAUGAAUUAUACGGUAACCAUGGGUCAGAGUUCUUAGAAUGUUGCUUUGUAUACAUUCGACCUAUCUGGAUGUCGAGAACCAUUGCUAGACGGUUACUUCGAUUGGUAUAAAAAUUAGUUUCUGUACUACCGACUUAGGUUCGAACCUAUAGGAUCACACACAUAAGAGGUUGUAAUCUAAUCAGAUGGUUAAUCGAUGAUUGAGAAUCAUUCUAAGGUUAAACGAUUAAUGUGAUUAAUGUUUGACCUAAUACAAGUAUUAUAGGAGGAUCGAUUAGCAAUUGGAUUGCUAAUUGGCUCAAUCUGAUUGAGCAAUUGAGCUGAGAUCAAGUCUAAUUAAAUUUGAUUCAAUUAGAAUUAGUUUAAAUUUAAUUAGAUUAAAUCUAAUUAGUUUAUUGGAUAAGCCAAUUGUAAGGGCGAACAAGUCUCUGUUCGACUAGGACUUGUAUGCACCUAAUUUCUAAUUAAGUUAGGAUUUAAAUCAAAAUUAAAUAUGAUCUAAUCUAAUUUAAUUGGACUCCUAGUUGGACUAGAAUCACCAUUAAUUAGGUUACAAUUAAUUUGGAUUGGGUUCAAAGUGUUUGACCUAAUCUACAUAAGAAUCCUAGUUAGACUAGGAUUCCAUAUCAUCUCUUGCACCACCUAAGAAAUCUCAAGCCCACACCCACUAAUUAAGUUUUAGAUAUUUUUCUAUGAUAUCUACAUCCAAAGAAUGUUAUCUCACACCACUUAUUCUAGAGAUUUGAAUCAGAUUUGAUUUGAUUUAAUGUGGAAAGUGAUUUGGUUAAUUAUGGAAAGUGGUUUAGGCUUAUUCAUUUUUUGAAAGAGUCCCUCUUCACAAGGACUCUUCCCUCCUCUCUUGCGCCAACUUUCCCCAAGCCUAUCCUAUCAUUUUGUUGCCCCUUUUAAGCAUCUUAUCGUGAUCUCCAUAAAAUUUAUAAGGGAGGGGACGUCUAAGAAUUGGACGCCCCAUGGACUCCUUAUUGAUUAGGUCUUUUGACCUAAUCUGCUAUAUAAAAAGUUGCCGCCCCAUAUGCUAUCAAAUAAAAGUCAAAAAUUCAU
rnacentral:lncRNA from 1 species